ACGCUGGCGGCAUGCUUUACACAUGCAAGUCGGACGGCAGCACAGAGAAGCUUGCUUCUUGGGUGGCGAGUGGCGAACGGGUGAGUAAUAUAUCGGAACGUACCGAGUAAUGGGGGAUAACCAAUCGAAAGAUUAGCUAAUACCGCAUAUUCUCUGAGGAGGAAAGCAGGGGACCUUCGGGCCUUGCGUUAUUCGAGCGGCCGAUAUCUGAUUAGCUAGUUGGUGGGGUAAAGGCCUACCAAGGCGACGAUCAGUAGCGGGUCUGAGAGGAUGAUCCGCCACACUGGGACUGAGACACGGCCCAGACUCCUACGGGAGGCAGCAGUGGGGAAUUUUGGACAAUGGGCGCAAGCCUGAUCCAGCCAUGCCGCGUGCCUGAAGAAGGCCUUCGGGUUGUAAAGGACUUUUGUCAGGGAAGAAAAGGCUGUUGCUAAUACCGACAGCUGAUGACGGUACCUGAAGAAUAGGCACCGGCUAACUACGUGCCAGCAGCCGCGGUAAUACGUAGGGUGCGAGCGUUAAUCGGAAUUACUGGGCGUAAAGCGAGCGCAGACGGUUACUUAAGCAGGAUGUGAAAUCCCCGGGCUCAACCUGGGAACUGCGUUCUGAACUGGGUGACUAGAGUGUGUCAGAGGGAGGUAGAAUUCCACGUGUAGCAGUGAAAUGCGUAGAGAUGUGGAGGAAUACCGAUGGCGAAGGCAGCCUCCUGGGAUAACACUGACGUUCAUGCCCGAAAGCGUGGGUAGCAAACAGGAUUAGAUACCCUGGUAGUCCACGCCCUAAACGAUGUCAAUUAGCUGUUGGGCAACUUGAUUGCUUAGUAGCGUAGCUAACGCGUGAAAUUGACCGCCUGGGGAGUACGGUCGCAAGAUUAAAACUCAAAGGAAUUGACGGGGACCCGCACAAGCGGUGGAUGAUGUGGAU
rnacentral:rRNA from 1 species